AAAUGGGCGUGGCCAAUCAGAAUUGCCUGUUUCAGCUUGCUACGUAAGGAGUGAAUGGUUCGUCCAUUACUGAGAGAAGAAACGCCAAGCGAACAUGUUGCUGUUGCUGCAACUGAUCCUCGCCUUCCACUAUGCCAACACGGUUACGAUCCACCAGCCCCCGGCAUUUUCCGGCCGUCCUGGCGAGGAAAUGGUGCUGAAAUGCAGGGUAGAGGGUGGCAGCAGCGGCGCCGAUGAUUAUCUCUACUGGUACAGACAAUACCAGGGAAGCGGACCCCAGGCCCUUUUCACCUCGACCUUGACAGGAAACGUGCAGCCGAAGGACCCAGUGGACGGCUUCACGGCGCAGAGACCGAGUAGCAACGAGUUCUAUCUGAAUUCCUCCGGCCUCCAGGCGGAUUCGCCGGCCGUGUAUUUCUGCGCCUGGAGAUAUCACGGCGACUCAGACAGACGGGGAAGCCGAACAAAAACCUCACAGUGUGUGUGGGGUUGGCUGACGUCAGCAGAGGAGGAUAUGCGCUGCAGGUCGACACCUGACAACUGA